rnacentral:misc_RNA from 1 species
GUGAAUCAUCAAAUCUUUGAACGCAAAUUGCACUCUCUGGUAUUCCGGGGAGUAUGCCUGUUUGAGGGUUAGUUAGUUACAAUCGUUAAAAGUAAUUUUUACGGAUCUGGAUUUUCCAAUAGUUGUAUUUUUGGUAAUCUAGAAUAUAUCAUAACAUUAGGUGAUAUUGGAAAUGUUUGUUU